rnacentral:lncRNA from 1 species
UUUUGUUUCUGAGAACACCGGGGGAAAAGAAUGUGUCCUGCUUCUAAACUGAGAAAGACAUUUUAAGGCAGUUUCCCCUUGCCUCAGACGUUAACUUUACUGCGGUGUAAAUUCUCAUACAGUUAGGGUGUAUCUUCGAAGAGGCGUGUCAGUUAUGUACAUAUGGAUGUGACAGAAAAUGAAGACACAGGUUAGCUUGCCUGUGGCCACUCCUGAAAAUACUAAUAUAUUCAUCUUCUUCUCCCCCUGUGCCCGUGUGUGUCCAUGGCUCCUCAUGUAUGGCUCAAAUGGUAACUGUGGGAAAAUUCCUUGGCAUCCUGACAUCAGAACCCUUCAUCCUGGCGAGACCACGAUGAUGCAACCUCAACUCACUCAGCAGGCACCCCAGGACCCUCCAGCGGGGGCCAUGCUUCCCAGAGUGGAGACAACAGCAGUGAGCAAGGCGACGGGCUAGACAACAGUGUAGCUUCACCUGGCACAGGUGAUGACGACGAUCCAGACAAGGACAAAAAACGCCAGAAGAAAAGAGGCAUAUUCCCCAAAGUCGCGACAAAUAUCAUGAGAGCGUGGCUCUUCCAGCAUCUCACAGUAAGUCAAGAUGAAAGAUAUUUUAAAAUGACAAAGUUUUUUUGUCGUUUUGCUAAGCUCUAGCAGAUCACGUGGUCUCGAAAAAGAUUAGUUUUGAGUUCUGUUCUUCUGUUUCCACCUUCCCUUCCUUUCUUUUUUUUUAAACAAAACAAAAAAAAAAAAAAAAAA